rnacentral:rRNA from 1 species
UACGGAGGGUGCGGAGCGUUGUCCGGAAUCACUGGGCGUAAAGGGCGCGUAGGCGGCUUCUUAAGCGUGCGGUGAAAGCUCGGGGCUCAACUCCGAGUCGGCCGUGCGAACUGGGAAGCUGGAGCACAGUAGAGGCGGGUGGAAUUCCGGGUGUAGCGGUGGAAUGCGUAGAGAUCCGGAAGAACAUCAGUGGCGAAGGCGGUCUGCUGGGCCGUUGCUGACGCUGAGGCGCGACAGCGUGGGGAGCAAACAGG